GGUGCGUUGUUGCAAAAGUUAAUUGUAAACUUUUCAUGAUUAUGAGGUUUUUAACUGACUAAAGUUAUGAUUACUGACUUUAUAUAUUUGAAUGUUUGAUAGAUUUGAUGCCAUAACGUCAUUUCCAAUGAGGUCAUUACGUUGAGUGUAAAAGAACCGCUGAACUGUUUUUUUUUUUCAACCAGUUUAUUGAAUCGAACCGUCCGAAAGAACCGGUUCGCGGAAAAGAAAAGAACUUCCCAUAUGACUCGCUGAAAGUUAUAAUCACCCCGGAGUGAAUGUAUUAAAUAUAGAAAAUAUUAAACUGCUAUUUUUGUCGUUUGGAAGCUGCAUUUAAAAUCCAUUUGGCAUAACAAUCUGAAAGGACACUUGCCUAGCUUUGAAUUGGCAUGAAGCCUCUGACGGUAGUACCCACCCAGCACCAGACAUCAUUUAGACGUCGUUUUCUGGUCUAAAUCAAGUCGGCUCGUUUUGUAAAGGUGAAAAGGAAUCAAUUUUUCCACUUAUUUUUUCAUUGUAUACAUAAAAAAUAUUUUGGAUUGAUAUGGAGUUUUUUAUUAAGGAAAUAUUGGAAAUUUCUUUGCAGCUAAGUGGAUAUGAUGUAAUAAUAUACUUCAGUGUUCAUGGAGUUGGCAAAGAUGAAGCAUAUCUCAUACAAUUGUUAAUUUUAAGUUUCAUAUCCAUAAAAUGAAGUGGUCAGGCUCCAAACCAAACUUUUCUCAUUUUCUAAAUGAUUUCAAACUGUAUUGUAAGAUUCUAUGUAAUUGUACAAGUAAAAAAGCUAUUCGAACUUAUAAUAUUGUAAACAGGUAUGCUAUUGUAUAAAGUGACACCCCAAAAAUAUUGAUUGAUUUAUUUAAAAAGAAAUGUUUAUGGUUGUUACUGUCCAUAUUGUUCAUAUUUUUUCCUACUCAUUUUAAUGUUUCUCGUUUUAUUGUUUUGAUGUAUGACAUAAUAAAAAAUAAAAAAAUCAAGUCGGCCCGUCAUGGCCAUCUUUUAGACCAAAAAGCGACGUUGAAAAUUGGUCUUCAUUUGGUCCAUCGGAUUUGGUCCAAAUUAAGCCCAAAAAGCGACAUUUAACGUCUUUUUUUUGUUUGUUUAUUUAGCCCAAAAAUAGAUGUAGAUGGGCUUUAGUCCAAAUUUAGCAGAAAAAAAAACUUUUAUUUCGCACCACAAAGUCAUUAACAUAAACUAAUGGAGAAAUAUAUUAGACAUCAUGUCUGAAGCACUGUUAAAUAUAUUUAAAUAUAUUUUGAAAACACUUGAUGGUCACGCGCUGAACUGCAGAGGAGGAAGUCAUCAUGGAAACGGGGCUCAGCUCAACCUUCAAGCAGCUGCAGACGCUGUCUCUUGUGGUUGUUUUCACUAAUUUCAGAAAUGGUCAGUGUCUUCAGAAAAAGUCCGUUAGCAUCUCAACUGUAAUGCUAACUACAAGAGAUUCUUCCAUGCUGAUGCCCGUGCGUGUAUCCAGCUGAAGAACAUCUUUAGACAUUAUCAAACAUAUGACUAACAUUAAGUUUAGCUCCAACCCCAGUUAAGCAGACCUGAGCAGCUGAUCAAGGAUCAGCAGAAACUCUGCAGAACGGUGGUCCUUCGGCCCAGGACUGGACACCAGUGUUAUGCUGCAGAAAAAACAGCGAGGCUAAAGCAUUCAAAGUGGAAACAUCUGCCGUGGCUCAUUAAUCCAGAAUUGGGAAGAAGCAGAAGAUCAGAGAUCAGGCAGAGAUCUACUGGUGCCCCUGUGGGAACCCCAUUUACCUAAUGUGUUAGUUUAACCAAAGAUUUUCAUCACUCACCUUCAUGUUGUUCCAAGCCAGACUUUUGUUCAUCUUUGAAACAUAAAUGCAGAACUUUUUAAUGAAAUCUGAGAAUUAUUUUUAUAUAAAAUAACGCAUUCACACAAGCACCAUGCAUCAGUGUAGCAUUGGCAUGAGAGCUGGUGCUUUUUGGUGCUUUUGUCAAAAUCCAUUGGGGAUUCAUAAUUUCUGAAUAGAUUAUUUUUGCUGUUGUUGUUGUUUUUUGCGUACACAAGGCAUCUGUUAAAAAAUAUCUUAAUUUGUGUUCUGCAACAUGGUUUGCUGCAACAUGAGGGUAAGGAAAUAAUGACAGAAUUUACAUUUUUGGUUGUUCUAAUGUGGUUAUAAUUGGUCAUAGUUUAUUGUCUUGAAAAAUUAUAUUAAUACAGAAAGAUGGAUUGAUUUGAUAAGUUUAUAGUAAAGACUUUUAAAUCUAAAUAAAUACUACUCUUUUGCAAGGUCAAUUUAAAAAUACUGACAAAUGUAAUGGUUUCCACAAAAUAUUGGGCAGCACAACUAUUUUAAACAUUGAUAAUAAUCUUCAUGUUUCUUGAGCAGCAAAUCAGUAUAUUAUAAUGAUUUCUGAAGAUCAUGUAACACUGAAGACUGGAGUAAUUGUGUUAAUAAAUGUGUCAAUAUACUGUGAAUUGUCUUAUUUUCACUAAUUAGGAAUAUGAAAAAUAAUUCACGGUUGUAAUUAGGUCUGGAAAAGAAGUAAUUUGGACG